GUGCCAGCAGCCGCGGUAAUACGAAGGGUGCAAGCGUUAGUCGGAAUUACUGGGCGUAAAGCGUGCGUAGGUGGUUCUGUAAGUCUGUCGUGAAAGCCCUGGGCUCAACCUGGGAAUGGCGAUGGAUACUGCGGAACUAGAGUACGGUAGAGGAUGGUGGAAUUCCCGGUGUAGCGGUGAAAUGCGUAGAGAUCGGGAGGAACAUCAGUGGCGAAGGCGGCCAUCUGGGCCAGUACUGACGCUGAGGCACGAAAGCGUGGGGAGCAAACAGGAUUAGAAACCCGCGUAGUCC
rnacentral:rRNA from 1 species